CCCUUAGAUGUUCUGGGCCGCACGCGUGCUACACUGAGUGGAUCAGCGGGUCAGGUUGCGCGAAAGUGUUUCCUAAUCUUUAAAUCCGCUCGUGAUGGGGAUUGACGGUUGCAAUUUUCCGUCAUGAACGAGGAAUACCUUGUAAGCGCGGGUCAUCAUCCCGCGCUGAAUACGUCCCUGCCCUUUGUACACACCGCCCGUCGCUACUAUCGAUUGAACGUUUUAGUGAGGUAUUUGGACUGGGCCUUGGGAGGUUUCGGCCUCCCUUGUUGCUCGGAAAGACUCCCAAACUUGAGCGUUUAGAGGAAGUAAAAGUCGUAACA
rnacentral:rRNA from 1 species